AAAAGAUAUCGAUUUUGAAAUAAUGAAUUUCUAAUUUUAAAAUAUAAUAUUUUGAACCUACUCUUAAAAGAAAACAAGUCUGCGUAAAGAGUGUCUCUUUCGAAAACGACGAUCCCAAAUGAGACUCCUCUCUUGCACUUCCGUUUCCGACAACGUCUUUUCCGUCACAGCCGCAUUUCGUCACCUCCAACCCAGUUCGCUGUUGUCUCUGUCGUUCAAGAGGAACCCUAAAUCCGAUUUCGCCUCUGUCAAAUCCGCCGGUAAUUGAAAGUGUAAGUCCUAAAUCUAUGCAAUUCUAAGUUUUUAUGACAUAUUCUUAACAUGUAUUCUCAUUCCAUCGACUUUGAUAUCAAGUAAUCGGUUUUUGUUUUUAAUUUUGCUAUUCACUGUUUAUUUUUGUUAGCUCUAGUUUCCAGUUCGAUAACUCCUUCAAGUUUGAAUACAAAAGAUCGGUUCUGGGUUUUUCAUAAGUUUGAGUAUGCUUUUUGAUACCUAUUUUAAUAUAUUUUUAUUUUUACAAAUGCAUGUUGCCUCUUUGAUUGCGGUUUACGCCAACUGGGGGCUUACAAAGGUUAGAGGCAUCCGAUGGGCUUAGGAAGCUGCACACACACUGGGGACAUGUGGAAUCAGUAGUGGGUCUAGUUACAAAGUCAUGGUCUCCACCUUUUUUAUCGAAACUUUAUAGAAUCUGAAUUGGAUUGAAGCAGAACUUUAAGUGUAAUGGAGGUUGGACUGUUCGAGGACGAUAGCUUCUGAAGCAAGAAACAGCUCCAGGCAAAUUCUUUAGCAGACAGAGCUUCUUGAAAUUGGUGUAGAUUACUAUGGUUUCUGAUAAUGUUCGUGGGUAUAGUUACAAAGUUAAGAAGCAGUGAUUUAGUUUGUUUCCAAUCACUUCUGUUUUGUGUUUGGUCCAUUAGUAAACUUUCAAGUAGUGAAAAGGUUAAAAAGUCUGGUAUGUACUCAGUUUUGACAAUGGAAUUUUGUUCCAGUUCAGAGUAAACUAUUUGGUCAAGGUUUAAGAACAAGUUUUGGUUUGGUA